rnacentral:rRNA from 1 species
AGAGUUUGAUCCUGGCUCAGAUUGAACGCUGGCGGCAUGCUUUACACAUGCAAGUCGAACGGCAGCACGGGUGCUUGCACCUGGUGGCGAGUGGCGGACGGGUGAGUAAUACAUCGGAACGUGUCCUGAAGUGGGGGAUAACGCAUCGAAAGAUGUGCUAAUACCGCAUAUACUCUGAGGAGUAAAGUAGGGGAUCGAAAGACCUUAUGCUUUUGGAGCGGCCGAUGUCUGAUUAGCUAGUUGGUGGGGUAAUUGCCUACCAAGGCGACGAUCAGUAGUUGGUCUGAGAGGACGGCCAGCCACACUGGGACUGAGACACGGCCCAGACUCCUACGGGAGGCAGCAGUGGGGAAUUUUGGACAAUGGGCGCAAGCCUGAUCCAGCAAUGCCGCGUGAGUGAAGAAGGCCUUCGGGUUGUAAAGCUCUUUCAGUUGAGAAGAAAAGAUUGUAACUAAUAAUUACAGUUCAUGACGGUAUCAACAGAAGAAGCACCGGCUAACUACGUGCCAGCAGCCGCGGUAAUACGUAGGGUGCGAGCGUUAAUCGGAAUUACUGGGCGUAAAGGGUGCGCAGGCGGUUCUGUAAGUCAGAUGUGAAAUCCCCGGGCUUAACCUGGGAACUGCGUUUGAAACUACAGAGCUAGAGUGUGGCAGAGGGGGGUGGAAUUCCAUGUGUAGCAGUGAAAUGCGUAGAGAUAUGGAAGAACAUCGAUGGCGAAGGCAGCCCCCUGGGUUAACACUGACGCUCAUGCACGAAAGCGUGGGGAGCAAACAGGAUUAGAUACCCCGGUAGUCCAA